CAGACAAAGGAAAGAACCCUGACCGACAGCUAAGGUCCCAAGUUAUGGCUAAGUGGUGAAGGAUGUGGAGCACAUUGACAACCAGGAGGUUGGCUUAGAAGCAGCCAUCCUUAAAAGAAAGCGUAAUAGCUCACUGGUCAAGUGAACCUGCGCCGAAAAUAUAACGGGGCUCAAGCCAUACACCGAAGCUUCGGGUGGUCCGUAAGGAUCGCGGUAGGGGAGCGUUCUAGGUGCAUUGAAGCGAUAUCGUAAGAAGUCGUGGAGCUGCCUAGAAGUGAAUAUGCUGACGUAAGUAGCGAUCAUGUUGGUGAGAAUCCAACACGCCGAAAGCUCAAGGGUUCCUGGGCCAGGUUCGUCCUCCCAGGGUUAGUCGGGUCCUAAGCCGAGGCCGAAAGGCGUAGGUGAUGGAAAGCAGGUCAACAUUCCUGCACCGAACAGGAUGGCC
rnacentral:rRNA from 1 species